rnacentral:rRNA from 1 species
AGUGAACGCUGGCGGUAUGCCUAACACAUGCAAGUCGAACGGCAGCACAGUAAGAUCUUGCUCUUACUGGUGGCGAGUGGCGGACGGGUGAGGCAUACAUCGGAAUCUUCUUUUUCUUGGGUGAUAACGUAGGGAAACUUACGCUACUACCGCAUACGACCUACGGGUGAAAGCAGGGGAUCUUCAGACCUUGCGCGACUGAAUGAGCCGAUGUCGGGCUAGCUAGUUUGCUGGGUAAAGGCCCACCAAGGCGACGGUCCGUAGCUGGACUGAGAGGAUGGACAGCCAAAAUGGAACUGGGGCACGGUUCAGGCUCCUACGGGAGGGAGCAGUGGGGAAUAUUGGAGCAUGGGGGGAAGGCCGGUCCAGGCAUAGCGGGUGGGUGAAGAAGGGCUUCGGGUUGUUAAGCCCUUUUGUUGGGAAAGAAAAGCAGGAGGUUAAUACCCCGCUGUUCUGACGGUACCCAAAGAAUAAGCACAGGCUAACCUCGUG